GCCUGGCUGGCUCAGUCAGUAGAGCAUGUGACUCUUGAUCUUGGGGUUGUGAGUUCAAGCCCCAUGUUGGGUG
rnacentral:tRNA from 1 species